rnacentral:rRNA from 1 species
GACGAACGCUGGCGGCGUGCUUAACACAUGCAAGUCGAACGGAAAGGCCCUGCUUUUGUGGGGUGCUCGAGUGGCGAACGGGUGAGUAACACGUGAGUAACCUGCCCUUGACUUUGGGAUAACUUCAGGAAACUGGGGCUAAUACCGGAUAGGAGCUCCUGCUGCAUGGUGGGGGUUGGAAAGUUUCGGCGGUUGGGGAUGGACUCGCGGCUUAUCAGCUUGUUGGUGGGGUAGUGGCUUACCAAGGCUUUGACGGGUAGCCGGCCUGAGAGGGUGACCGGCCACAUUGGGACUGAGAUACGGCCCAGACUCCUACGGGAGGCAGCAGUGGGGAAUAUUGCACAAUGGGCGGAAGCCUGAUGCAGCAACGCCGCGUGCGGGAUGACGGCCUUCGGGUUGUAAACCGCUUUCGCCUGUGACGAAGCGUGAGUGACGGUAAUGGGUAAAGAAGCACCGGCUAACUACGUGCCAGCAGCCGCGGUGAUACGUAGGGUGCGAGCGUUGUCCGGAUUUAUUGGGCGUAAAGGGCUCGUAGGUGGUUGAUCGCGUCGGAAGUGUAAUCUUGGGGCUUAACCCUGAGCGUGCUUUCGAUACGGGUUGACUUGAGGAAGGUAGGGGAGAAUGGAAUUCCUGGUGGAGCGGUGGAAUGCGCAGAUAUCAGGAGGAACACCAGUGGCGAAGGCGGUUCUCUGGGCCUUUCCUGACGCUGAGGAGCGAAAGCGUGGGGAGCGAACAGGCUUAGAUACCCUGGUAGUCCACGCUGUAAACGGUGGGUACUAGGUGUGGGGUCCAUUCCACGGGUUCCGUGCCGUAGCUAACGCUUUAAGUACCCCGCCUGGGGAGUACGGCCGCAAGGCUAAAACUCAAAGGAAUUGACGGGGCCCCGCACAAGCGGCGGAGCAUGCGGAUUAAUUCGAUGCAACGCGUAGAACCUUACCUGGGUUUGACAUGGAUCGGGAGUACUCAGAGAUGGGUGUGCCUCUUUUGGGGUCGGUUCACAGGUGGUGCAUGGCUGUCGUCAGCUUGUGUCGUGAGAUGUUGGGUUAAGUCCCGCAACGAGCGCAACCCUUGUUCACUGUUGCCAGCACGUUAUGGUGGGGACUCAGUGGAGACCGCCGGGGUCAACUCGGAGGAAGGUGGGGAUGACGUCAAGUCAUCAUGCCCCUUAUGUCCAGGGCUUCACGCAUGCUACAAUGGCUGGUACAGAGAGUGGCGAGCCUGUGAGGGUGAGCGAAUCUCGGAAAGCCGGUCUCAGUUCGGAUUGGGGUCUGCAACUCGACCUCAUGAAGUCGGAGUCGCUAGUAAUCGCAGAUCAGCAACGCUGCGGUGAAUACGUUCCCGGG